UACGUAGGGUGCAAGCGUUAAUCGGAAUUACUGGGCGUAAAGCGUGCGUAGACGGUCAUGUAAGUCGGGUGUGAAAGCCCCGGGCUCAACCUGGGAAUUGCAUUCGAGACUGCAUGGCUAGGGUGCGGAAGAGGGAAGCGGAAUUUCCGGGUGUAGCGGUGAAAUGCGUAGAUAUCGGAAGGAACACCAGUGGCGAAAGCGGCUUCCUGGUCCAGCAC
rnacentral:rRNA from 1 species